rnacentral:piRNA from 1 species
AACACACUGACUGGUGGAGUCUGC